UCUCCAGGCACAGGCCUCCCUGGGCGGACGUGCAGAGUUUGGGAUAUGUGCACUGGGCGUUUCCCUCUCCCCAUUUUGUGCCUCCUGUCUCCGGUGCCAGUCUGCAGUGGUGCAAUUUGCUGGCGGACCGCAGAGCAGAUGUCUUCUAGAGAUGUCCGAGUGGUUACUCACUGCAAGAACUGGUCAGAUACUUCUGAGAGCUGAGCAGGGAACAGGUUCCUCACAUGGACAGAAAUAACUGAAUGUAAGAUCAUUCCGCACAACUUCCCAUCCAUGUUGGAAUCCCUUCUACAGAACCCCAGCUCCUAGUUGAAAACUUCUGGUAUCAAAAUGCCUUUUCUUCACAAGCAACCCAUUCUACUUUCUGUCAACUCUCAAGAACUUGAAGUCAGGAGGAGUUAUCUCCAAGCAUCCACACCUGAGGGGCUUCCUCUUCUCCAGAUCUGAUGGAGAUGCUGAAGUUCUGGAUCUGAAGCAGAGAGAGUGUGCAAGCCAGGGAGAGGGGCAAAGGGAGUGAGAGAGAGACUCCCAAGCAGGUUCCACAUUCAGCGCAGAACCCAACACAGGGCUCAAUCCCAUGAUCCUGGGAUCAUGACCUGAACCAAAAUGGAGAGUUGGACACUCAACUGACUGAGCCAUCCAGGCACCCCUAAUUAAGAACUGGUUUCCUUAUAAGUAUGGGAUGAAGGCAAUGGAGGCUGGACAGAAGAAACUCAGGGGCCUUCUCUGCCUGGUGUCCUGGAAUUCAGGCUCUGCCUGGAAGGCGUAGGACUUCCUCCAUGCCCUCCACACACUGGGAACUUCUGGAGGCCCCACGGGAUUCAAAUACAACACCAUCAAUCUCUGGACUGCCCCCAUGAUGGUGGGGUGUCCAGCGAAGGGCUGCUCCAGAGCAGAGCAGUGGAAGCAACAGGAAGAUACUUCCCAGCCACCUACAAGGUUCCUGUGUCAAAAGAAGGAGGAGCAUCCUUCGUCCCUCUCCUGCCAAAUACUUACUGAGCGCCAGGUCUAGCACAGAGCCAUGAAUGGACAAGGCACAGUUCUUUCCCAGUUGAAAAGACAAAGAAAUAGUAUCUGGUGGAGGAAGAACAAGUUAGAGAUAAAUCAUGAAAUGAGCUUUGGCUCAGGGCACGGGCUGUGCUGAAGGUCAGUCAUAGGUGGACUUUUUGGCCCCAACAGGCUCAUCUGUCCAGACCGGCCAUGGAGGAGCCACCCGUGGUACUGCCAUCUCUUUGAACAUUUUGGGACUCAUCUUGGAGACUUGCCUUUUGAGGCUCAGCACAUUCUCUGGAUUAGCUUCAAGGGGCAAAGCUGGACUUUUUGUGGAUGAGUAGGAGUUUUGGAAAGAACCAAAAGUCAUUCGUAGCAUAAUGUAGAGAGAAGUUGAACCCCCGUGUUGCACACCUGAAACUAAUGUCAACUAUAACUAUUAUGUGUCAAUGCAAAUAAAACAAAUUAAAAAAAAAAGCCAUUCUGGCCAAAUGCAGGCCAUUCGAUUCAGUUUCGUUCGAUUCAACAAAUGUUUAUUGAGUGUCUACAGUCCGCAAGGCUCUGUACUAGGCUCUGGGAAUUAGACAAAUCCCAACUCUGCCAUCUUAGAACUGACAGCUUUGCAGGCAAGAUAGACACUAAAUUUAAAGACAAGUAAUGACUUGGGUAGUGAGUGCAUCAAAAAGAUGGGGAAGGGGGAAGAGUAGCAUCCUGGGCUGAAGGAACAGCAUAAAAGAUAGUAAUAUUAGCCACCUAUUGAGCACCAACUAUGCAUCAGACACUAUUCAAAGUAGUUUUUAUAGAUUAUCUCAUUUAAUCCCUCCCACAAAGGUAUGUGGUAGGUGCCAUUAUUAUCCCCAAAUUAUAGAUGGGAAAACAGGCACAGCCAGAAUAAGUAGAUUUCCCAAUCAGUAAAUAGAAAAAUGGGGUUUCAAACCCAGGCAUUCUGGCUCCAGAGCCGACACUCUGAACCGCUAAGUGAGAGAGCUUGUGUGUGCUUAAAUGCGCUGGCAUCGUUUGAAUAAAAAUAACUUCUCAAGAGUAUGGGAAGGGAGACCUUUGGAAGCGUAAAUGGGUAUAAUCUCAGCAAAAUGAUGUGGCAACGUGUGUGUAAAGAGAAAUUGUGGUUUAUAUAUACAAUGGAAUACUACUUGGCAAUGAGAAAGAAUGAAAUCUGGCCUUUUGUAGCAACGUGGAUGGAACUGGAGAGUGUUGUGCUAAGUGAAAUAAGUCAUACAGAGAAAGACAGAUACCAUAUGUUUUCAGUCACAUGUGGAUCUUGAGAAACUUAACAGAAGACCAUGGGGGAGGGGAAGGAAAAAAAAAAGUUAGAGAGAGAGAGAGCCAAACCAUAAGAGACUCUUAAAAACUGAGAAUAAACUGAGGGUUGAUGAGGGAUGGGAAGGCGGGGAGGGUGGGUGAUGGGCAUUGAGGAGGGAACCUGUUGGGAUGAGCACUGGGUGUUGUAUGGAAACCAAUCUGACAAUAAAUUUCAUAUUAAAAAAAAAAGUGUUAAGGGUGUGUCUCCACCUUUUGUCUUCUAGAAACUUAUUCAAAGGAAAUAAUCAGGACUGUGCAUAAAGGUGCACCAAGGGGACAUGACCAAAAUGUUCUUCAAUAGGGAUCAGUUAAAUAAAGUAUAGCACAGUUAUGCAACAAAAUAUCAUGCAGCCUUUGAAAAUUAAAAAUUGUGUUUGUUCCUCUUGUUUUGUGUCUUCAGGGUGCUUUGAGGAAGUAGGAGAAGUCUGCCAAAAGAAAGACGGGGUGGGCCCUUCUGUUCAGAUAGCAAGGGGCCGUAGUUGGGACCCCUGGGUAGUUCUGGAGGAGGCAGGGAGGCCAGGCUGAGGUGAGGCUUGCAGGGGGGAAGUGAGACUUGGCUCCAAGUAAUCAUGACCUAGGGGAGGGGGUGUGGCCAGCC